ACACCAGGGGGAGUGCGGCUU
rnacentral:rRNA from 1 species